rnacentral:lncRNA from 1 species
CCUCACAAGGGGUUCAAGGGUAUCACAAGCCUUAUAAGAUGAGACGGUCUGACUGAACAACUGAUAUGGGACUAAAGUCCCGCUCCCUCUGCAACAGUGGAAGUGUUGGGAUAGAUCCCCAUCACUUUGUCGACUGCCACCCUUCUCGCCUCUGAGCCGACUAAGGAAGCUACGCCGACUAAGCCACCUUCAAUCAAUCUGGCUCAAAUUAACGAGUCUCAAUC